GACUCUGGGAUAAGCCCGGGAAACUGGGUCUAAUACCGGAUACGACCAUUUCCAGGCAYCUGGUGGUGGUGGAAAGUUUUUUUCGGUUGGGGAUGGGCUCGCGGCCCUAUCAGCUUGUUGGUGGGGUAGUGGCCUACCAAGGCGACGACGGGUAGCCGGCCUGAGAGGGCGACCGGCCACACUGGGACUGAGACACGGCCCAGACUCCUACGGGAGGCAGCAGUGGGGAAUAUUGCGCAAUGGGCGGAAGCCUGACGCAGCGACGCCGCGUGGGGGAUGACGGCCUUCGGGUUGUAAACCUCUUUCAGCAGGGACGAAGUUGACGUGUACCUGCAGAAGAAGCGCCGGCUAACUACGUGCCA
rnacentral:rRNA from 1 species